UUUGCAGUAUGCAACUAAUAAUAUGUUGGUAUAAUUAAUCGCAUAAGUGGAAUAUACAUAUUGUGCGAAAUAUUAGUUUGAAGGUGUCCAUUUAAAGAAGCGCAAGUAAUAUAUGAGCGGCGAGCGACCCCCAGUAUGUUCACUUGGGUUAGUACAGCGGAGUCGCAUAUUGGUUAUAUGAAAACGAAAACUGUCCAAAAAACGUGGUAGUGAUCCCCUUAUUAUGCCUCAUGUUGAGGUUGUCGAUGGCACCAUGAAGUUGGAUAUUUUUUCUGCAGAUCCACAUCCCGAUGUUGCAGCAAGAGUCAGAUUGGAGUACUCCGUACAAAAGGAUGUGAUUUCAGGUGGCUGUGCAACAAAUUCUGCUGACUCAAAGUCAACGCAGGGGACCAGGGACAAUGUUGCUACAAAAGCAGCAACAACAAUCCAUACGUAGCUAUGUAUGUCCGUAUAUAACGGUAUGUAUGUGCGAACAUAUGUAUAUGCGUAUGUAUUGUAGGCAUAUAUGAUCGGACGAUAUGUGUUUGUUUAAGUGUACAUGAACAUAUACAUAUAACUUUAUGUGUUGUGUAUAUGAAUCUGCUUUAAUUUAUAUGUCAGUAUUUUCGUCGUCGUAGGAGUGGAAUAAGACCAAUUUAGCGAUUGGUCUCGUAGUUUGCCCCUUAGGUGCUUCCACAUCCACUACCCGUACUCUGUUGUCGGGAUCUGGGUGUAAUUUGGUGAUUCGUCCUAGUCUCCAUUCGUUGGGUGGAAUGUUGUGUUCUUUGAUGUCAAAUAGGUCCCCCAUUUUGAGGUUGGAUUGAGGAUGCCUCCAUUUGUUGCGCUUCUGCUCUAAGAUAUUCGGACUUCCAUCUUUUGCAGAAGGUUUGGUGUAGGGCCUUCAGUUUUUCCCAUCUGUUGACGAUUGAUAAGUUGGUGGUGCAUUAAGCACACUACCAACUAAAAAAUGACCUGGAGUAAGCGGCUCCAAGUCUGUAGAAUUGUUUGAGGACGGACUUAACGGUCGAGAGUUGAGACACGACUCGACUCGGCAUAGGAGGGUGCUAAACUCCUCGAACGUAAAUUUAUGAUCGUUUGCGAUUUUUCUAAAAUGAGUUUUAAAGCUUUUCACUCCUGCUUUCCAUGGACCACCCAUGUGAGGAGCUGCAGCGGGUAUAAACAGCCAAUUUAGGACCUGAUGUUGGUAUUUAGACAAUGCUCUAGAACGUGCAUCAGCUAUGAAGGCUGUGAGUUCGGCCUUCAAUGAUUUAGAAGCCCCUACAAAGUUGGUUCCAUUGUUCGAAUAUACAUAUUUGGACAUCCACGCCUGAUCAUGUUUUUGACCCUGGAAAUCCAGAAUUGUGAUCGGAUGAGCCGCAGCAUCAGACGAUUUUCCCCAUGGAUGGAUACUUGAUGGGCAAACUGGACAUAAAAACGGGACAACUUGGAACUAUAUGGAAGAAGAGUGUGAUGGCGCUCACUGUAAGAUAGGUCGGAAGAUGCGCUGAGACGCCCAUCAACUUUCAUAAUGCCAUAAUACUCUGUCGAUGAAUGGGUUAAGAAACAGGAUCUCACUUUUCCACACAAUGGAUUUUCCAGAUUUCAAUCGUUCAUAUUCUUCACUAUAAUAUCGUUUUUGACAAAUGUUUAUCAGACACUGAGUCGUCAACUUAAUUUCUUCGGGCGAAAUCAAGUUAGACUCUGUCUUAAAGAAUGAUUUUAUUUUCGGAUGUGUUCUCUGAUAGAAUCUCGUUAUAUAGCAGAUCACUCUCAAAGCUCGCGAAAAUCUAGAAAAUCUAUUCAGAAUAUCUUGGAAGUCGUUUACUGUUGAUGUUGUAUGAUUACGCACUCUUUUUUCCUCUAUAGUUGUUUGUUGUUUCGAUUUUCCAUAUCGUGUCGUCUUCUUGUAACCAAGAAGGUCCUUGCCACCACAAAAAGUAGUCGACUAAUUCACCGGCUGGUAAUCCUUUGCUGGCCAGGUCUGCUGGUUGAACAAAACUGGCGCGAUGAAGACUCAGAUCAUGGCGGCAGUUUUGUUCUCAACCUUUUGGAUUAUUUUGGUUACUCUAUGGGCAACAAAAUUUGACCAGAAACACGGUGGUUUUCGUAUCCAUGCUGAUACGAUGGCAGAAUCCGUCCAGAAAUAAGUGGUUAAAUUACCCAGAUUGAGUUGAUUGAUAAUGGAUUUCAUUUUUUCUGCAAGAAGUACUGCGCCACAUAAUUCUAGUCGAGGUAAAGAUAUCGUUUUGACUGGAGCUACUCGUGUUUUUUCCAUCAGUAGGCUAACGUUAUAUUUGCCUUCAACCAUAAUUUUUAGAAAAAUCGCAGCUGCAUAUGCUUUCUCUGAUGCGUCACAGAAUCCUUGUAUUUCUGCAGUGGCACGCGGUGUGGAAUUGGCCCAUCUUGGUAUACGGAUGAUGUUAAUUUCCGCAUACCUCCUUACAAAGGUCUGCCACCGAUUCAUGGUAAUUGACGACACAGUUUCGACCCAAUCGGUUCCCUCUAGCCAAAUGUUCUGCAUCAAGAUUUUGGCAACUACUAUGAUUGGUGCAAGCCAUCCAAGUGGAUCGAAUAGCUUGGCGAUCGCAGAAAGAAUUGCUCUCUUCGUGAUGAUUCCUUUGCUGUAUAUAGGUUUGCUAAUAAAGUAGAAAUAGUCAGACCGGGCAUUCCAUCUGAUUCCAAGAGCCUUUACGGUGCUAGUGUUUUCGAAUUCCAAAAAGUCUGUACUUAGCAAGUAUGCCAUCUAAUACUUGAGUGUUAUUGGAUGUCCAUUUGCGCAAAGGAAACCCAUAUGAUUUCAUUACUUUUGAUAUUUCCUCUCGAGCACGUAUUGUGGAAUCCGGAUUAUGUCCACCUGAAAGUAUGUCAUCUACGUGCAUAUAGUUACGGAGAAUGUUUAAUGAUAUCGGGUAGUUUUUCUCAACAUCAUCUGCUAACUGAUGUAAAGUCCUAAUAGCUAAGUAGGGCGCGCAGUUAAUGCCAAAAGUAACCGUUUUCAGCUCGAAAAAACUGAUAGGUUCCUCAGGGCUCUUACGAAAAACCAUUCUCUGGACUGUCGUGUGCUCCCGAUUCACCAUAAUCUGUCGAUACAUUUUCUCUAUAUCGCUGUUGAAGACAUACAUGUAAAACCUCUAUCGUAGUAUCAGAGUCGGGAGGUCUGCCUGCAUAAUUGGGCCGGGAUGUAGGACGUCAAUUAAACUUACGACAUUAGCAGUGGGGCAUGAGGCGUUGAAUACCACUUUAACUUUCAACACUGCGUGAUGAGGCAAAAAGUAGCAGUCAGUGGAGUCUUCUUGUAUGCUGAACGGAAAUUUAGACAUAUGGUCCAAAGUCCCGUAUUCACAUAGGACUGCUGUAUUUCGUCUGCAACUCAGGUUUUUUUGCCAAACGCGUUUCGUUGCGGUAGAACUGAGUGCACGCUCCUUUCAGCGAGGGUCCCAAAGAAAUAUCACUUGAAUAAUCGUGUUUGAAGGGUAAGGAGACCACAUAUUUUCCAUUAGCAUUCCUUUUGGUAAUUGCUUUGAAUAGCUCUUGGCAGUAUUUGUCAUUUUCUUUGAGGCUUACUUUCUUGCGAAGAUCUUCCGAUUCCCAAAAUGCAGUUAAUUUGUUUUCCAGGUCGGCUUCAAUGUAAAAGGAGACUAUAUUGUUUCCUGAAUGUGAAGUUUCGGUGCUGCCAGUUAUAAUCCAACCGAAUACGGUUUCUUGAGUGAGAAGCGUAUAUAACACAUUCUUUUCAAUUCCACCUAGCAUUAUUGUGGGUAUAUGUCUCCUCCUAAGACGAGAUCGACGGGAUCAUUUACAAAGAAUCUCUUAUCUGCCAAAACUAAUUCUGGGAAUGCUUGUUGCGUCAGUGCACUUACUUGGCAAGUGGGCAGGUCAAUUUUGGCAAGAUUAGAGCAAUUGCCUCUAGAUUUAUUAGAGGGUCAAUGGGUGACCGUAAUUGAGCGGCACACGCUUCUUUAACCUGCGCAGAUAUAGAUUUGUUGAUGCCCGAUACUUGGGCAUGCAAGCGUUUAGUCGGCAGAUUAAUUCGGCGUCUUAGUCUUUCAGUUAUGAAAGUGUAUUCAGAUCCGGAGUCUAUCAAUGCUCUGGCCGAGAAAUUGAUAACAUUGAAAAGGAUUUGUACCCGUGCUGUCUCCACUAGAACUCCUCUGUUUGUAUGUGCGUGACAUGAAUUUACAUUUUUAACUGAGUUAUGAUCUUCCUUUGCAGAUUCCAUUCUGUGCUGAGCCUGUCUGGAGGUCGAAGGUACGUCGUCUAUUGCAUAUGGAAGUCUCCUAGAACAUGUUGCUUCUGUCUGACUUGCUUGUGAAAGAUGGAGCAAAGUAUGAUGUCUGGAUCGACAUAUGCUGCAGUUAAACGGUCUUUAACAUAUUGUUACUGUAUGUCCGGCUGACAAGCAACUCAGGCAACGGUGAUUCCCUUUGAUAAAUUCAAUUCGCCGUGCUGGCGUUAAUUUGCUGAUUUCUUCGUAAUUUUGUUGGUUAUGCUCCGGACGUCGGCACGCUUUGCAUACAUUAUUGUUAAAACUCGCUUGAAAGGUGCCAAUUCUUUUCGGCCGUGCUUCUACAAGGUGCUGUGUGGGUACAAGAUUUGUUGUCCUUAAGACCUGAAACGGUAUCUAGUGUUUGAAACCGGUUUGAAAAGAACUUUUCCAUAUCCUUCCACUUGGAAAUCUCCGUUAUGUUUUCUAUGGUUUGUUCCCAUAGAGCUAAUGAGCAUUCCGGUAGCUUGGUUGAACAUAAAUAUGUCAAAAUAGCGUCCCAAUUCGAAAUGUCAAUGUUAUGACAUUGAAGUGACAAGAUGCAAUUACUGAUGUAUCGUUGUAAUUUCUUUAUGGAGCUACCGCAUUCGUUUUCAACUGCUUUUAAAUUGAAUAGAAUUUUCAACUGUGUAUUGACCAGAAUACGUUUAUUUUCGUAUCGGUCAACUAAGCUUUUUCAAUUUGAAACCAUCAUUGGUCAAUGGACACCUUCGUACUAUUUCCUUUGUCUCCCCUUGUGUUUUCUGGUUGAGGUGGAAUAACUUCUCAACGGGGGAUAGGCGUUGAUUUUGAAUACUAAUUGCUGUAAACAUGUCUCGGAAGGACGGCCAUGAAAGGUAAUCUCCUUUGAAAACUUCAGUGUCGCAAGGAGGCAAAUGUAUAUUGUGCUCCCGAAUGGUUAGAUUUUUCUACCUUUUCUGCAUCAUCCGCUAAGGCAGCCAUGCACCUCAUGUAACAGGAAAACUGCUUUUCUGCUUAGAUUUUACAGCCAGCCGUUAAUCUUUGGAAAGAUCUGAGUUAUUAAGGUUGUCUGGGGCUGAUUUGACUUUUCACCACAUAACCUUCAACUCAUUUUGAAAUGUAGGUAGGGUGUGUUUGUUCUGAUCUUCGUUUGGUGUCUCUUGAAAAUCAGAUUCAAACUCAGUGAUGGCAUCAGCCAUUAUAAUAAAGGACUCCAUUGUUAAGAAGAUUAAUUUAGAAAUACUGAUAUGUCAAUAUAGUGUAUGUAGCACAUUCUAUAUGUUUUCAGAUAAAAAACUAAUCGCUUAUUUCGUGGGAAUUCGUGAUUUAAGCGAAAUCACCUAAUAUGAAUUGGAGACACUAAACCAAGAGUUCUCCGUUAUCAACAAUAACAAUUUAAAACUUUGUUUUUUUUUUGUCAUUUUAUUUAAUUUGUAUAGUAGCCAAGAAAAGUUCAAAUAAUCCAAUGCUGAGUGGGUGUAUGUGCACCCGAGUGUAUAUAGUGGCGCGAACUCAAAAAAGGAAACGGAAGACAAUCUGUGCUGUAAUAUUUGCGAUUGUGAAACAAAGCCAAUUAAAACCUUAUUAAAUAAAUUAUAU